AGCGGAGGAAAAGAAACCAACAGGGAUUGCCUUAGUAGCGGCGAGUGAAGCGGCAAAAGCUCAAAUUUGAAAUCUAGCACUUUCAGUGUUCGAGUUGUAAUUUGAAGAAGGUAUCUUUGGAUCUGGCUCUUGUCUAUGUUUCUUGGAACAGAACGUCACAGAGGGUGAGAAUCCCGUGCGAUGAGAUGAUCCAGAUCUAUGUAAAGUUCCUUCGAAGAGUCGAGUUGUUUGGGAAUGCAGCUCUAAGUGGGUGGUAAAUUCCAUCUAAAGCUAAAUAUUGGCGAGAGACCGAUAGCGAACAAGUACAGUGAUGGAAAGAUGAAAAGAACUUUGAAAAGAGAGUGAAAAAGUACGUGAAAUUGUUGAAAGGGAAGGGCUUGAGAUCAGACUUGGUAUUUUGUAUGUUACUCUCUCGGGGGUGGCCUCUACUUUUUAUCGGGCCAGCAUCAGUUUGAGCGGUAGGAUAAUUGCAAAGAAAUGUGGCUCAACUUCGGUUGUGUGUUAUAGUCUUUGUCGAUACUGCCAGCUUAGACUGAGGACUGCGGCUUCGGCCUAGGAUGUUGGCAUAAUGAUCUUAAGUCGCCCGUCUUGA
rnacentral:rRNA from 1 species